rnacentral:rRNA from 1 species
CCUACGGGAGGCAGCAGUGAGGAAUAUUGGUCAAUGGACGAGAGUCUGAACCAGCCAAGUAGCGUGAAGGAUGACUGCACUAUGGGUUGUAAACUUCUUUUAUAAAGGAAUAAAACGAGGCACGUGUGCCUUUUUGCAUGUACUGUAUGAAUAAGGAUCGGCUAACUCCGUGCCAGCAGCCGCGGUAAUACGGAGGAUCCGAGCGUUAUCCGGAUUUAUUGGGGUUAAAGGGAGCGUAGAUGGGUUGUUAAGUCAGUUGUGAAAGUUUGCGGCUCAACCGUAAAAUUGCAAUUGAUACUGGCAGUCGUGAGUACAGUUGAGGUAGGCGGAAUUCGUUGUGUAGCGGUGAAAUGCUUAGAUAUCACGAAGAACCCCGAUUGCGAAGGCAGCUUACUAAACUGUGACUGACAUUGAUGCUCGAAAGUGUGGGUAUCAAACAGGAUUAGAUACCCGAGUAGUC